AUGAGGGCCUGCUUGUCUGAGUGAUAAUGGUUCUUCUCCCUCUCUUUGUGCUUUUCCUCCAUCCGCACCAGGUGGAGGAUGUGUCCCAGGUAGAUCAAUGUGGGCGUGGACACAAAGAUAAUCUGUAGAACCCAAAAGCGGACGUGGGAGAUAGGGAAUGUGAUAUCAUAGCACACAUUCUCACAACCAGGCUGUUUGGUGUCGCAGGUGAAGCCCGACAGCUCGUCACCCCAGACCUUCUCUGUGGCUGCGCUCAGGAUCAGGAUGCGGAAGAUGAAGAGGACGGUCAGCCACACCUUGCCCACAACGGUGGAGUGCUCCUGGGCUUUUUCCAGAAGCUUUCCCAGCAGGUUCCAGUCCCCCAUGGCUGUGUGAGCUCAGAUCUGGGACUAGAGGUUAGAGGGACUACAUAUAUUCUAAAACCUCUUACCCAGCUCGGACCAAACAAGCCUCAAGGGAGCAAGGCUGCUAACCAAGUGUUUAAGAGGGGGACUCUGUCGCCGAGCAGAGCUUUGAAAGCAGCGUUUGCAGGCCCUGCCAAUGAGGUCGGGAUACAAAACAGUCCACCGUGUUGGGGCAUGGAAACGAGUCACACUUCACCAACCGCACCAUCUUAAAGUCAGGGUAGAUCAUGUAGAAGAUGUAGAGGAAAGCCACCUCGAAGAUGAUUCUGAAGAUGAUACUGAGCAUGUAAGUCCACCACAGCGCUCCGGUGAUCUGAAACUUCUGGUUCUUGAUGCGUUCCAGCUCCUUGGGGCUACUGCGACCUGCCUUCUUCAUGAGCUUCUUAUCGAUGUGGCGUCGGUGGGCCACAUGCAUGGCCACCAGCAGGGCGGGGGUGGAGACCAGGAUGAGCUGGAGCGCCCACAGACGGAUGUGCGAAAUGGGAAAGAAUUGGUCAUAACAGACACUGUUGCAGCCAGGCUGCUGGGUGUUGCAGGUGAAGCCAGAUUUUUCAUCUCCCCAAACACUUUCAGCAGCAACAACCAGGACCAGGAUACGGAAGAUGAAGAUGACGGAGAGCCAAACACGUCCGAUGCCAGUUGAGUGCCUGUUUACGCCGCUGAUCACGGCAUAAAAGGUGCCCCAGUUCAUUUUGGACUC